rnacentral:rRNA from 1 species
CGUAGGGUGCGAGCGUUGUCCGGAUUUAUUGGGCGUAAAGAGCUCGUAGGCGGUUUGUCGCGUCGGCCGUGAAAUCUCCACGCUUAACGUGGAGCGUGCGGUCGAUACGGGCAGACUUGAGUUCGGUAGGGGAGACUGGAAUUCCUGGUGUAGCGGUGAAAUGCGCAGAUAUCAGGAGGAACACCGGUGGCGAAGGCGGGUCUCUGGGCCGAUACUGACGCUGAGGAGCGAAAGCGUGGGGAGCGAACAGGAUUAGAUACCCUGGUAGUCCACGCUGUAAACGUUGGGCGCUAGGUGUGGGCGACAUCCACGUUGUCCGUGCCGUAGCUAACGCAUUAAGCGCCCCGCCUGGGGAGUACGGCCGCAAGGCUA